rnacentral:rRNA from 1 species
GAUGAACGCUGGCGGCGUGCCUAAUACAUGCAAGUCGAGCGAACGGACGAGAAGCUUGCUUCUCUGAUGUUAGCGGCGGACGGGUGAGUAACACGUGGAUAACCUACCUAUAAGACUGGGAUAACUUCGGGAAACCGGAGCUAAUACCGGAUAAUAUUUUGAACCGCAUGGUUCAAAAGUGAAAGACGGUCUUGCUGUCACUUAUAGAUGGACCCGCGCUGCAUUGGCUAGUUGGUAAGGUAACGGCUUACCAAGGCAACGAUGCAUAGCCGACCUGAGAGGGUGAUCGGCCACACUGGAACUGAGACACGGUCCAGACUCCUACGGGAGGCAGCAGUAGGGAAUCUUCCGCAAGAGGCGAAAACCUGACGGAGCAACGCCGCGUGAGUGAUGAAGGUCUUCGGAUCGUAAAACUCUGUUAUUAGUGAAGAACAUAUGUGUAAGUAACUGUACACAUCUUGACGGUACCUAAUCAGAAAGCCACGGCUAACUACGUG